AUGUUAGUUUACCCUCUGAUGGCGCUCACUGUGCAUAGUAAAUCCACAGCCCUCACUAUGGACUGCAAAGCCCCAGAUGUGCUGAGCUCCGCUGUUCCACUGACCUGUCUCACGCCCACUGAGCUUUGGUCACUCUGUCCUCCCCUAGAGGAGGACCCACCAAGUCUCUUCCAUCUUUUCCUUCAUGCUAUUCCCAGUAUGCCUGAAAUGCUAGCCCCCAACCCCAAUGAUGCCUGUCUCCCCUCACUCUUGUGGUCUCAAAUAUCCAUCUUAGAAGAAGCUUUCACUGAGUUCACAACCACAAUGAGUUCCUCUGUUUCAUGACAUUCUGAGCUUUGUACCUUUUUAUUAGUAGCAUUAUCAGAAUGUGCAGUUGUAAAAUUACUCAUGUGAUCAUGUUUGAAUGUGUUUCCCUACCUCUGCAUCAUCUGGGAUUAGGUCUGCCUCCUGUUCAUGUACCCUGUCCAGUGUUUUCAGAGCAUCAAGGGGAGAGUGCUCCUGGCACUUGGUGGGACACUUUUCCUUGCACAGGUGUUUUAUGUUUGACUGCAAUGACAAAGCAUAAAACACAGCCUUCUGGCGCCUAACGAAGCAAGCGUUUCUUUCUCACUCACAAGUUUGUGGAUGAGCUGUAGCCUGCCUGGGCUUGGUAGGCCUUGGGUUUCAAGUCAGCUUCCUUCUCUGAGGCCUGCUUGUCAUUUGAAGGCCCAGGCAGAAGAGACAGUGGCAACCUAGGCCCAGUCCUCACGGAAGACCGCACAAACCCAGGUGGAAGAGGGGAACACAAGCCGCUUCUCAAAGCCUCUGUUCAGAGCACAUGUGCCCACUUUUCUGCACAUCUUCCACUGAUCAGAGGGCCCAAGGUCAGUGUGAUAGAGACAUCAACUCCAUGCAAAUGAUCUAACAUCACCCAUGUCCCUCAGGGGCCAUUCCAAAGCCACUCUAGGCCCUGACGCCCUAGAUUCCUGCCUUACAGUUAAUUUUUUUUAGAUUUUUAUUUAUUUAUUUAUUUUCAGGUAUACUGGGUCUUCGUUGUGGUGUACAGGCUUCUCACUGUGGUGGCAUCUCUUGUUGCAGAGCCCAGGAUCCAGAAUGCAGGCUUUGUAUGGGUUCAGAAUGUAUGGGUUCAGUAGUUCCAGCUCCCGGGCUCUAGACACAGGCUCAGUAGUUGUGGCACAGGGCUUAGUUGCCUUCCCAGACCAGAGAUCAAACCCAUGUCCCCUGCAUUGGCAGGCAGAUUCUUAACUAGACCACCAGGGAGGUCCCGGCCUUACAAGCAGGUUCCAAUUAGGAGGCAGCCAUGAGCACCCUAGGGGGAGGAACAGUGUGUUCCCAGCAUAGCUGUUGGCUUGAGACUCCCACAGAGUGACAGCAUUCGGAGCAGGAGAGGCAGAAGGUUUCCUUCAAGGGCCUCAGAUCUGUGAAUUUCAGAAAGCUCCCGAGCCCACAUCAACCCACAGCGUGUCCUUGUAACUCCCCACAGUACUGUGUGAGUCGUCACUUACCUGUGAGCCCUUAUUUAUGGAGGGCCUAAGGGAUGCUGGGUGGUGCCAAGGUAAGGCUGCUGUGUGCCGGGUCUGGGUCAGGCCCUUCCUUUGUAGCUUCCCCUCCUCCCUCCUCCAGCCCACGGAAUUUCCUCUUUUGUUUACACUCACCCCAUGAUUCCCAUGGAGCAAGGGACAGAGCCCAGAUGAUGAGCACAACAAAACAAGUGAAAAAGCGGAAUAAUUCAUGCAAAAUCAAGAUGUCAAGGACCUGUCACUUGAGCACUGCAUUCUGCUGCUCAAGGACUCUUCUGAGCCAUUUUAAUUGGAUCAGAUUAGUCAAAUCCUGAAAGACUUUACCUAGCCAUAUGCCAAGAGACAGUCUUUACAUAGUAGAUAGGUAAUCGAUAUAUGUAGAAUGAGUGUAUAAAGCUAUGCAAUUAAGUGGUAUGGAGGGAGUGUUUGCAUCGAACGAUGAACCAUAACUAAGAGAGCAAUGCCCACACACUGCUCAGUGAAAUGACAGCUUUAUCACUUGAUAACAUAAUCUUAUGAUAUACUGCUAAUAUUAUCCCCCUAUAAAAACACAGACAAGAUUGAAAUAUAACCUUAAAAGCUAUGGGAAAUCCCAUGGACAGAGAAGCCUGGUGGGCUACAGUCUGGGGUUGCAAAGGACACCACUUGGCGACUAAACAAACACAUAAGAAUAAUCAGGCCCAGCGUGGCAUCAGAGGGGACGUGGGCCACCUAGGGAUCAAGUGUGGGCCUGACCCCUGGUGGUUCUGGUUCUGUUCUUGCCACUGAAACCCACUAUCCAGACAGACUUGGCAGGUCACUUAAUACCAUCGUGCUAGUAUUUGAGCUAAUCACUUAAUUGAGCAUUACUCCAUUUAAUCCUCACAAUUUCCUGCUCUUAUCAGAGAACAAGAAGUGAGGUUUAGGGAAGCUAAAUCAUAUACCCAAUAUUUGAGGUGUGUAUGUCUGACUUUAGAACUGGUCUGUUCUACCUCGUUUCAUUCAGUAGACCCUCAGGCUUUUGUAAACAUCAAAAAAGAUGUGUAUAAAAAGCACUUUUGGAAACGUUGAAACCGACAUCAGUUAGUACUACAAAUCACCUUGGGACGAACAGAAUUUCUUUGGAAUUUAACACAAUCAUAAUAUAAUUUCUUCACGGUGUAUUAUGGACCCGUUACAAGCGUUAAUUUUUGUAAUUAUCGCACAAGCCCACAAGGAUGGUCCUGCUCUAAUUUUUAGAUGUGAAUUAACGAAUGUUUUGGCAAAACGCUGUUAAAACAGGUAUGAUAAAGCUGCACAAGCGACGCGAGGGAGCCGCGGCGGCGUCCAGCUUCCUGUGCGUAGAUGAGCAGAAAACGGUGGAGCGGGAGGGACUCCCCCGGGACCGUCACUGAAUGGGAGCGAUGAUGCUCCCACAGCACAGGAGUCUUUACUCUGCUCAACAGGGAUGUAGGAACGGCGCUGAGUUAUCAGAGUUCUCCGAGGGAGGUGAAAAAGAAGCCGAACCCAGGGGCUCCACCGCCAGGGAUGGGCUAUUCGGGCUCCAGCCCCGAGACUUUUCCUUGCGAGUUUCCAGGGAGAUGCGGCAGCGUGGGCGCGUCCCUGACUGGCUCCCGAGCUUUGGGGCUGUGGGUGUGGGUGUGGGUGUGGGUGUAUGAUCCCUUUCGUCUCUGGGAUUGGGAUCGCCCCUUACAGUCCAAAUGAAAAGAUGUCACCUUUGCAUCUCUUCUACAAACGCUUACUGAGCUCCUAUAACUCGCCCAUAGACAAAAUGCGGCGGCGAUGCCCGCUAAGACCCAACGCCCGCGAGCGCGCGUCUCGCUGUCUCCGGCGAGCGCGGAAGGCAGGGUGCCCGGAACGCCCGUCCGGCAC
ensembl:lincRNA